AGGAUGAACGCUGGCGGCGUGCCUAAAACAUGCAAGUCAUACGGUCUACCUUCGGGUAGACAGUGGCAAACGGGUGAGUAACACGUGGGAACACGCCUUCGAGUGGGGAAUAACGCUGAGAAAUCAGUGCUAAUACCGCAUAUGGUCUAACGACUAAAGCAGCAAUGCGCUCGGAGAGUGGCCCGCGUCCGAUUAGCUAGUUGGUGGGGUAAUGGCCUACCAAGGCGGUGAUCGGUAGCUGGUCUGAGAGGAUGGUCAGCCACACUGGGACUGCGAACGGCCCAGACUCCUACGGGAGGCAGCAGUUAGGAAUUUUCGGCAAUGGACGAAAGUCUGACCGAGCGACGCCGCGUGGAGGAUGAAGCCUUUCGGGGUGUAAACUCCUUUUCUGCGGGAAGAUAAUGACGGCACCGCAGGAAUAAGCACCGGCUAACUACGCGCCAGCAGCCGC
rnacentral:rRNA from 1 species